CCCUUAGAUGUUCUGGGCUGCACGCGCGCUACACUGAAGCGUUCAACGAGUAUUCACCUUGCCCGGGAGGGUUGGGUAAUCUUUUGAAAACGCUUCGUGAUGGGGAUAGAUUAUUGCAAUUAUUAAUCUUCAACGAGGAAUUCCUAGUAAGCGCGAGUCAUCAGCUCGUGCUGAUUACGUCCCUGCCCUUUGUACACACCGCCCGUCGCUCCUACCGAUUGAAGUUUUCGGUGAGCUUGCAGGAGGAGUUUUUUGAAACUGGUUCGCUAGUGGAUUUUUAUUCCAAAUGCUAACGAAUCGAUGGCUUUAGAGGAAGGAGAAGUCGUAACA
rnacentral:rRNA from 1 species